rnacentral:rRNA from 1 species
GUAAGGAAUAUUGGACAAUGGGGGAAACCCUGAUCCAGCCAUGCCGCGUGAGUGAAGAAGGCCUUCGGGUUGUAAAACUCUUUCAGAUGUGAAGAUGAUGACGGUAACAUCAGAAGAAGCUCCGGCUAACUUCGUGCCAGCAGCCGCGGUAAUACGAAGGGAGCGAGCGUUGUUCGGAAUCACUGGGCGUAAAGAGUGCGUAGGCGGUUAUACAAGUCAGGAGUGAAAUCCCAGAGCUUAACUUUGGAAUUGCUUUUGAAACUGUAUAGCUAGAGUCCCGGAGGGGUUAAUGGAAUUCCGAGUGUAGAGGUGAAAUUCGCAGAUAUUCGGAGGAACACCAGUGGCGAAGGCGAUUAACUGGACGGGCACUGACGCUGAGGCACGAAAGCGUGGGGAUCAAACAGGAUUAGAAACCCCGGUAGUCC